rnacentral:rRNA from 1 species
GUUUUUUCGCCUAAGGAUGGGUCUGCGGCCGAUUAGGUAGUUGGUUAGGUAACGGCUUACCAAGCCAUUGAUCGGUACGGGUUGUGAGAGCAAGAGCCCGGAGAUGGAACCUGAGACAAGGUUCCAGGCCCUACGGGGUGCAGCAGGCGCGAAACCUCCGCAAUGUGAGAAAUCGCGACGGGGGGAUCCCAAGUGCCAUUCUUAACGGGAUGGCUUUUCAUUAGUGUAAAGAGCUUUUGGAAUAAGGGCUGGGCAAGACCGGUGCCAGCCGCCGCGGUAACACCGGCAGCUCUAGUGGUAGCAGUUUUUAUUGGGCCUAAAGCGUCCGUAGCCGGUUUAAUAAGUCUCUGGUGAAAUCCUGUAGCUUAACUGUGGGAAUUGCUGGAGAUACUAUUAGACUUGAGACCGGGAGAGGUUAGAGGUACUCCCAGGGUAGAGGUGAAAUUCUGUAAUCCUGGGAGGACCGCCUGUUGCGAAGGCGUCUAACUGGAACGGUUCUGACGGUGAGGGACGAAAGU